rnacentral:rRNA from 1 species
UACGUAGGGUGCGAGCGUUAAUCGGAAUUACUGGGCGUAAAGCGUGCGCAGGCGGUUCGUUAAGUCAGCUGUGAAAGCCCCGGGCUCAACCUGGGAACGGCGGUUGAAACUGGCGAACUAGAAUCUGGCAGAGGGGGGUGGAAUUCCACGUGUAGCAGUGAAAUGCGUAGAGAUGUGGAGGAACACCGAUGGCGAAGGCGGGUCUCUGGGCCGAUACUGACGCUGAGGAGCGAAAGCGUGGGGAGCGAACAGG